GAGACUUGCAGCACUUUCCUUCUUUUGAGGCUUGGGUGGUGCCUGUUCAUAACAUAGGGUCAUACCACCAGGCCAAGGCCUUGUGGUUUCAUAGGGUUAAAGUUGACAUAAUGUAUUUCCCACGUCAAGUGAAAAACGAAUAUUUCACAAGAGCACUGAAAAUUAUUAUAGUUCAAAUACAUCAUCCAAUUUAGGUUUGAUUUAUGUACGUAUAGUUUCCAAAUCCUAAUUCAGACUGCAGAAACCAUAUAUAUUCACAGGAACGUAACUGAAGGACAGAAAACACAUUAGCUAGGGUUUUAUGGAAUUAUCACAUCACAUCAAUGUCCUCAACAUCAAGCCAAUCAUUGGACUCCUUGGAUUCAGAGUUAGCAGCACUUACCUGCUCAGACCCCGCAUGUUUCACGCUGACAGGAUUAAUAUCCUUAACUGAGUCUGAAGAGCCUUUGCUCAACUGAACCCAAUCUCGUGAGUCUUUUGUUGAAGCAUCAGAACCCGAUGUUACUUUCUUAUAACUUGUAGGCACAUCUCCAUCAUCUUCUUCAAGAUCACUGAAUGAUACAUCCUCAUCAUUUCCGAUAUGCAUUGUGCUCCCACUUGUGCCUACCAUUUCUGAACUUUCAUCUUUCAACCAAUCAUCAGCAUCAUCCUCAAAUUUCUCAUCUAACACUUUAGAAGAGGAACUAGAUAGAUGUCGAUGUUUGGCCUGGUCAACUGAUUCCUCCUCAACCACAGCUUUGUCAAUAAUUUGCAUUUCAGUACUCAGAACUGGGUGCUUCUCUGUUUCUUGUUCAUCUACAAUACCAGAAGGAAUUGCUUCAUUUCCAGAUGUAUUGGCUAAAAUAGUGGGAUGGCCUACUUCAAUGCUGGAUGUCUUUAGAGGCACUGAUUCAUACUCAGCAUGAGAUGGCACAGAAAGAGACUCUUCAUGUGGUAAAUCAGCAGUUCCUGUCGAUCUACAAGUGCCAAUUCCUGACCAACCUGGCUUGGUUGCCUUAGCUUUGUUCUGCAACUCAUGUGACAACAUUGCCCUUGCUUCCACUAUCUGGGGAGUUGAAAGUAGCUCAGCAUCAUGUUUAAUGAGCCUAGGGUGCAGAAGUACAAAGUAAAUCUUCCAAAAGCAGCCCUCACUCAUAUAUCCUGGACAAAGUUCAAUUCGGAGAGCAGCUAACCUGGGGGCAAGACGUUCAACUGCCAAAGCAUGUUCUUGUUGGGCAUCAGACAUGUCAAAAUCAUCGAAAUCUUCAUUGUCAGGAACAGGAAAGUCAAGCCAAGUCUCUGGAUGCAUCGCGAUAUCCCUCGCAAAGGCUAUAACCUCCUCGGUCACACCGACAGCACUGCCAACCAAAUCCUCGUCAGUGAAAUCUUUUUCCGACCCAAUCUGGAGGAAAUUUGAUGCGAUUUUACUGAUCUCCGACACAUUCACGUUACUCGACAACUUAG
rnacentral:misc_RNA from 1 species